rnacentral:rRNA from 1 species
GACGAACGCUGGCGGCGUGCUUAGCACAUGCCAGUCGAACGCUGAAGACCUGGCUUUUGUUGGGUUGGAUGAGUGGCGAACGGGUGGGUAACACGCGAGUAACCUGCCCUCUUCUUUGGGAUAACGCCCGGAAACGGGUGCUAAUACUGGAUAUUCACUGAUCUUCGCAUGGGGGUUGGUGGAAAGGUUUGUUCUGGUGGGGGAUGGGCUCGCGGCCUAUCAGCUUGUUGGUGGGGUGAUGGCCUACCAAGGCUUUGACCGGUAGCCGGCCUGGGAGGGUGACCGGUCACAUUGGGACUGAGAUACGGCCCAGACUCCUACGGGAGGCAGCAGUGGGGAAUAGUGCACAAUGGGCGAAAGCCUGAUGCAGCGACGCCGCGUGAGGGAUGGAGGCCUUCGGGUUGUAAACCUCUUUCGCUCAUGGUCAAGCCGCAACUGUGGGUUGUGGUGAGGGUAGUGGGUAAAGAAGCGCCGGCUAACUACGUG